rnacentral:rRNA from 1 species
GACGAACGCUGGCGGCAGGCCUAACACAUGCAAGUCGGGCGAGAGGCGGACGGGUGAGUAAUGUAUGGGGAUCUGCGUGAUGGAGGGGGAUAAAUACUGGAAACGGUAGCUAAAAACGCAUACCAUCAGAUGAACCCAUAUGGGAUUAGCUUGUAGGUGAGGCAACGGCUAACCAAGUCGACGAUCCCGAGCUGGUCUGAGAGGAUGAUCAGCCACACUGGAACUGAGACACGGCCCAGACUCCUACGGGAGGCAGCAGUGGGGAAUAUUUCACAAUGGGCGAAAGCCUGAUGCAGCCAUGCCGCGUGUGUGAAGAAGGCCUUCGGAUUGUAAAGUACUUUCAGUCGGGAUGCGUUACCGACAGAGGAAGCACCGGCUAACUCCGUGCCAGCCGCCGCGGUAAUUC